UGAGACUUCAACUGCUAUCCGAGAGGCCACUGAUAUCGCAUUCAAAAUGAUAUUACUGUCCCUUAUCAUCGUCUACUCUCUUGUAUUCACCGCCUUCGCAUUUCCUGAUGGCAUUUUCUACCGUCGAGGGAAAGUGGGUAGAAGGAGUAUUACUGAUGGUGAAUUUAUUGAUGCGUCAACUGAACAUGCUCAAAAUACCGACAAUGGAGAAAUGCUAGUCAGGGAUAGAAAACAUGUCUUUGAAUAUCCAUGGCGAGCACAUGCAAAAUAGGCUUAUACAUGGGCACACCUUGCUGAUCUGACGAAUUGCAGCGAAAAUGAACAAUUUGCAUGUUUAGUUUUUGCUAAAAUUUGAUUAAACUUUAAUCCUUA